GGCCGUGUAGCUCAAUGGCAGAGCGUCUGACUACGAUUAAGUAUUCUUAUAGUAUCAUUAUCCCGUAAUCAGAAGGUCGCAGGUUCGACCCCUGUCUCGGUCA
rfam:Metarhizium robertsii ARSEF 23 MAA_Scf_29, whole genome shotgun sequence.